UGCGACUCACUGGAGAAGCUUUAGAUGCCGCUGAAGAGUUCAGGGCACCGAAAGUAAGACUGUACUCACGCUUCCCAUCAAGAUCGGCACGCAAGGACUGCUACCUGCACACCUACUUGACGACUCCAGCAAUUGGUGUACACAAAACAGUGCAGAACGUUUGUUCGUGCGAGUCCGCGGAGUAACCGGAGCCGUGCUAAGGAAGAAAAAGCAGAAACACUGCCUAGUCUCCAGAAGAAGCGUAGCUUGUGGUAUAUCUGAAGCCUGUGAGCCUUGUGAUGUCACUCAGAAAUUGCUGCGAUGAGUACAUCAUUCACAUUCAUACCCUGUGUGCGAUGGAAUAAGCAGACUGCAUCAUCUUCUGAAGAAACGACACUUGUCAUGCUGUUAACUGAAGAAAUCGACACCCAGCUGUUAUCUUCAUCCAACGUAUCUGAAGACUGGAACCAUCGCUAUUUGAGUUACCUUUUACUGUCUACUUGCUCACCUGCCUUACUUUAGCGUUAAAGUUAAGAUUACCUUUCACUGGUUGUAAUGGGUAUAAAACCUUUCCCGGAUCUAUCUGGGAGCCCAGGAGCUCAUCUUCCUAUUAAUUGGGUCUCUGUCCACUCCUUUGCUGCUGCUUUGGCUGGCAGGCAGAUGUAACAUGGAACGGACGUUUACAGAGGGAGUAUUCCAGAAAUCCUAUUCCACGCUCCGAUCAUCGCAAAAAUAAGGCAGUGAAGUCCCAAGGUAUCGUCACCAAAGAGGAGAGGAGAGGAGAUGAGCAUCAUUCACUGCACUCUGCGCCAUCAAGCAGCCGAAGACGCUCUUCUUCUUUGCCAUCAACUGCAUGAUCAUGUUCUUGUGCUCCAGACUCUGUAGCAGCAGUAUUUGUCGAUCGUCGCUGGGAAGAUGACCAGGUUGGUAGUGGUGUAUGGAAUGGGCGCAGAGCAGAAUCAUCCAAUUCCAAUCCACGCUUGCCUUCAGGCCUUCAUGCAGUUGGUAAACCUGUGAUUGUCGUACAGACUCAAGUUUCUGUCUUGAAGUGUAAGUAUAAUCAUGAAAAAAAGGCAAGGAGAAGAUGAUUGGUGUUCACCACAUGCUUAUUAGACAUCUAUGUGUAUAUUAUCAUUGCCAUCAUCUGAUAAAA